UAUAAAGCAAGACACGAGCAUCUGGCUUACAAGUCAGUCUCUGUCAGUCAGUUCUUUAAAAUCUGACUACCUCUAGAUGAACACAGUGGAUUCUGGGAUAAACAAAGUAGGUGUUUCGAAGAUCUCACAAGGACAGCUGUGAAAAUUAUCCAGCUGUACAUCCAGUCUGUCAAAACCAACCACCAAAGGCAUCUCAGUGUUUCCCAAGUGAACUAGAGCACAGACACCUACAUGAACGUAUCAGUUUUUGAGUGAAUUAUUUUAUCAAAGACUGAGAUGAGAAGAAUCCAGCUCUUUUACUUACUAUCUGUUGGGUUUCUCAUGGGGUAAGACUGGGUGUAAUUGUUCACACAGUGUAUCAACUGUGGACUAAUAGAGGCACAAUAAUUUUCCACUGCUUUGAUCUGAGAUGGACCAGGAGAAGAGUCUGUUCGAAAAAUGGCUUGACAGAAUUCUCGGCAGUUUGUGUGAUGACCCGCAUAACUGCAGCACACCGAGCCCACUGUGGAAAAAGAGAGGACACUGAAAUUCAGGACACUUCUUGUUAAUGUUAACAGCACCGCAGUGGUCAACAGUCCACCUUUCUGAACGGGAGAAAGCAAGCCACGCUGCAGAGGAUAAACACUUGAGUGGGGCCAGUCAAGGGCUCACUGAUCUAUGACAGUCACAGUUCAUGACUUAGACUCUCUAGACCCGUGAGGAGCAGUACAGUCUGGAGCAACGCAGAAGCACGUCUAAGUAUUUCUGGUUGUAAUGACAAUUUGGGAGCAUACACUGGCAUUUAAUGCAUGUCAGGGCUGCUAAUGUCCUCCAAAGCACCCGGAAGUGUCACAGAACCAAAGCUGCCUCCCAGAAUGUCCAGAAUGCCCAUGCUGAGAGCAUGGAACAGGCUCUUUCCACACUGCACUUGCAGAGAUUUAUAGACAGAGCAAAACAACACCAAACGAAAUCACAGUGCCUCACAUUUAUAAAACAGGCCCAGUAAAAACUAAGAGGCAGCAAGAUAAGUUAAAUAAAAUUAACAAAUGUAUACUCUGAAACUGAAAUCUCAAAAUUUCUACAGUUUGAAUAUUUACAAGAAUAUUCAUAUACUGAAGUAGUCUUCAUUUCACAAUGGAUACAAUUUGUCUCAAGUAUAAGUCAAAGCAAGUUUAUUUGAAGCCACAGACUGAGAACAGAAGGGAGAAAGAGCUGAAGAAUCCAGUCUUCCCCACAUGGCAAACAAUGUCAUGCAUGCAAGUCUCGCCUGCCACUUGUUUAUAAAGCUUUAUUGAAGCGCAGUCACACCCAUUUGCUUAUAUAUCUUACAUGGCUAUGUCAUGCUAUCCAUGCGAUGAUGGCAAAGUUGAGCAGACAAAGGCCAUAUGGUCUGCAAGCCUAAAGUGGACAAUCAACUGGCCCUUUGCAGAGAGUGUGCCAACUGCUGAAGAAAAAGAAGUGCAAAGCUGUCUUCACUGAUGACACCUGCAGGGUACAGAAUGUUCCCCAAGCAACUAUCAUUUCUCUUAAUGUUCAAUGAUAGAACUUUCACACUUAGGUUUUCCUGAAUAUGUUGAAUGAAUACUUGAUAUUUUACACAGAAGCACUAUUAAUGUUAACAAAUACUACUUCUACAUCUGUACUCA